rnacentral:rRNA from 1 species
UACGGAAGGCAGCAGUGGGGAAUCUUGCACAAUGGGCGAAAGCCUGAUGCAGCAACGCCGCGUGCGGGAAGAAGGCCUUAGGGUUGUAAACCGCUUUCAGCAGGGAAGAAAAUGACGGUACCUGCAGAAGAAGGUGCGGCCAACUACGUGCCAGCAGCCGCGGUGACACGUAGGCACCAAGCGUUGUCCGGAUUUAUUGGGCGUAAAGAGCUCGUAGGCGGUUCAGUAAGUCGGGUGUGAAAACUCUGGGCUCAACCCAGAGAGGCCAACCCCGAUACUGCUGUGACUUGAGUACGGUAGGGGAGUGGGGAAUUCCUGGUGUAGCGGUGAAAUGCGCAGAUAUCAGGAGGAACACCAGUGGCGAAGGCGCCACUCUGGGCCGUAACUGACGCUGAGGGAGCGAAAGCGUGGGUAGCAAACAGGGAUUAGAUACCCG